rnacentral:rRNA from 1 species
AACGAACGCUGGCGGCAGGCUUAACACAUGCAAGUCGAGCGAGACCUUCGGGUCUAGCGGCGGACGGGUGAGUAACGCGUGGGAACGUGCCCUUCUCUACGGAAUAGCCCCGGGAAACUGGGAGUAAUACCGUAUACGCCCUUUGGGGGUAAGAUUUAUCGGGGAAGGAUCGGCCCGCGUUGGAUUAGGUAGUUGGUGGGGUAAUGGCCCACCAAGCCGACGAUCCAUAGCUGGUGUGAGAGGAUGAUCAGCCACACUGGGACUGAGACACGGCCCAGACUCCUACGGGAGGCAGCAGUGGGGAAUCUUAGACAAUGGGGGCAACCCUGAUCUAGCCAUGCCGCGUGAGUGAUGAAGGCCUUAGGGUUGUAAAGCUCUUUCAGCUGGGAAGAUAAUGACGGUACCAGCAGAAGAAGCCCCGGCUAACUCCGUG